rnacentral:lncRNA from 1 species
GCGAUAAAGGCUGAUAGCCCAUCUAGCCAAUAGCUACAACUAACAGGCCAAAUAGCUAAGCCUUGUAUCGAUCUAAUUGUUGAAUAAAUAAAAUCACUCUAUUGUUCUUCUAAAAACCCAACAAUCGUAUCAGAGAGCUACUCACACACUUUCUAAAACCAACAGUGGUAUCAGAGCAAAGUUCGGUCACCUUGGGCAUAAGGGUUCG